rnacentral:SRP_RNA from 1 species
GCCGGGCACAGUGACGCAUGCCUGUGGUCCCAGCUACUAUAGAGGCUGAGGCUGGAGGAUCUCUUGAGUCCAGGAGCUCUGGGCUGUAGUGCACUAUGCUGAUUGGGUGUCCGCACUAAGUUCGGCAUCAAUAUAGUGACCUCCCAGGAGUGGGGGACCACCAGGUUGCCUAAGGAGGGGUGAACCGGCCUAGGUUGGAAACAGAGCAGGUCAAAACUCCCGUGCUGAUCAGUAGUGGGAUCUUGCCUGUGAAUAGCCACUGCACUCCAGCCUGGGCAACAUAGCGAGACCCUGUCUCU